rnacentral:ncRNA from 1 species
UCUCCCGCUUCUCCUCCCUGAGCGGGGCCAGGUCGUACUAUGCGAUAUGGCGUUCUUGCCCUGGAGAUACUCCCCUUUCUCCAGGGUUUUUUUAU